rnacentral:rRNA from 1 species
AUUGAACGCUGGCGGCAUGCCUUACACAUGCAAGUCGAACGGCAGCACGGGAGCAAUCCUGGUGACGAGUGGCGAACGGGUGAGUAAAGUAUCGGAACGUGCCCAGUCGUGGGGGAUAACGUAGCGAAAGUUACGCUAAUACCGCAUACGAUCUAUGGAUGAAAGCGGGGGAUCGCAAGACCUCGCGCGAUUGGAGCGGCCGAUAUCAGAUUAGGUAGUUGGUGGGGUAAAGGCCCACCAAGCCGACGAUCUGUAGCUGGUCUGAGAGGACGACCAGCCACACUGGGACUGAGACACGGCCCAGACUCCUACGGGAGGCAGCAGUGGGGAAUUUUGGACAAUGGGCGAAAGCCUGAUCCAGCCAUGCCGCGUGCAGGAUGAAGGCCUUCGGGUUGUAAACUGCUUUUGUACGGAACGAAAAGGACUGCCCUAAUACGGUGGUCCCAUGACGGUACCGUAAGAAUAAGCACCGGCUAACUACGUGCCAGCCGCCGCCGUAAUAC